GAGACCACUGCCUCUAAAAUGAGUCUCUCUGGGGAGAGAGAGGAGGGGACCACUGCCUCUAAAAUGACUCAAGACACCAGUUCUAAGAGUGUCCAGAAGCCCAGAGCAGAGUCCCCUACAACCAGCCUGCUAUCAAUGAAGAGUGAUCAGCCACCUGCUUUCAGCCAGGAACCAUUACCAGAUGACAAUAAGGAAGUGGAGAGUUUGGACAGUGAGGAUCCAUUAAAUAUCACACACAACCUUCUGGACGGAAGAAGUCAAACUCUGCUGACAGUCCAACAAGACAUUAAGGCUAAACUGAAACACAAGUAUCAACACAUAUCUGAAGGAAUUGGACACCAUGGAAACCAAAGUCUGUUAAAGGACAUCUACACAGAGCUCUACAUCACAGAGGGUGGAAGUGGAGGGCUCAAUAAUGAACAUGAGGUUAGACAGA
rnacentral:lncRNA from 1 species